AAUACAUGCAGUCGAGCGGACAGAUGGGAGCUUGUACUGAUGUUAGCGGCGGACGGGUGAGUAACACGUGGGUAACCUGCCUGUAAGACUGGGAUAACUCCGGGAAACCGGGGCUAAUACCGGAUGGUUGUUUGAACCGCAUGGUUCAAACAUAAAAGGUGGCUUCGGCUACCACUUACAGAUGGACCCGCGGCGCAUUAGCUAGUUGGUGAGGUAACGGCUCACCAAGGCAACGAUGCGUAGCCGACCUGAGAGGGUGAUCGGCCACACUGGGACUGAGACACGGCCCAGACUCCUACGGGAGGCAGCAGUAGGGAAUCUUCCGCAAUGGACGAAAGUCUGACGGAGCAACGCCGCGUGAGUGAUGAAGGUUUUCGGAUCGUAAAGCUCUGUUGUUAGGGAAGAACAAGUACCGUUCGAAUAGGGCGGUACCUUGACGGUACCUAACCAGAAAGCCACGGCUAACUACGUGCCAGCAGCCGCGGUAAU
rnacentral:rRNA from 1 species